UGAACUGCAGUCGAGGAGCUUGUUUCCCUCUACCUGGUCUGACAGGAAGUGCAUGCACUGUGAGCACUGAACUGCAACCUGUCAGACUGAGUGGAGGGAAACGAGCACCUCUAAAGCGGUCC